rnacentral:rRNA from 1 species
AUUGAACGCUGGCGGCAGGCCUAACACAUGCAAGUCGAGCGGCAGCGGGAAAGUAGCUUGCUACUUUUGCCGGCGAGCGGCGGACGGGUGAGUAAUGCCUGGGGAUCUGCCCAGUCGAGGGGGAUAACUACUGGAAACGGUAGCUAAUACCGCAUACGCCCUACGGGGGAAAGCAGGGGACCUUCGGGCCUUGCGCGCUUGGAUGAACCCAGGUGGGAUUAGCUAGUUGGUGAGGUAAUGGCUCACCAAGGCGACGAUCCCUAGCUGGUCAGAGGAGAUGAUGAGGCAAACUGGAACUGGGGCAAGGGACAGGCUCCUCCGGGAGGCAGCAGUGGGGAAUAUUGCACAAUGGGGGAAACCCUGAUUGAGCCAUGCCGCGUGUGGGAAGAAGGGCUUCGGGUUGUAAAGCACUUUCAGCGAGGAGGAAAGGUUGGUAGCUAAUAACCGCCAGCUGUGACGUUACUCGCAGAAGAAGCACCGGCUAACUCCGUGCCAGCCGCCGCCGCAG